UAUAUAUAAAAAUGUGCCUCUCUCCUUAGAGAGCCACGUCACUAAAUCAAGCUCCCAUAGUCUUCCACGUGUCCAACGCUGCGUUUCAUUUGUUAAUUUUGUGGGCUUUUGGCAUGGCUGAAUAAACCCAUCCCUAAUUAUCUUCUAACAUGUCCAAUGGAAAAUUAGGGUUCAUCUCCGCCAUUGAAGAGAUCAAGUUGCUGAGUUCGAGUUGAUGAAUCUGUUCGUAGAUUUCGAUCACGUCGUCUGAUCUUAUUUCUCAUCAACCGAAACGCUCUCAGUUACAGAUUCAUCGCAUUAAACAUCUUCUUAACUCCAUCAACCAUAUCUAGCCUUGAAUGCGAAUUUCCCUUCUGCAAGGCGGUGUCACUGAGCGUAUAAAAGUUGCUGCGGUUAUGGGAGGCGAGAGACGUCAGGCGCGGUGGGGAUUUCUUCUCGCUGACAAAGGGAAACCGGAACUGUUACGGGCUACAUUCAACCGAUUCUUUUGGAUUUCUUCUUAGAUCGUUAUGGGCGUCGAUAUGCUCUCCUUGAUGCCAAGGAUAUUACUGAAGAAAAAAAAUCUUAUCCAUGCCCAACGGAGUGGUUAUUCGGUGUUGAUAUUGACAUAUUGUAAAGAAAUAGGAAGAGUUUUCACGGUUUCACAGCAAGCCCAAAUAUACUUUGUUUUUGUAUCAUCUGGAGAUUCCUUUGAGAAGAAGAGGAAUAGAGUUCUUUUGGUUCGAUGGGAAAUUGGGUCAGAAGUCCGAAGAGAAGGUGCUGAAGGAUUCAAUGAAACCAUCACAAAACAGUUCUGCUUCUGUCUCUGAAACCUGGAGUCGAAUUGAAUCUAACCGCAUUUUCACACGUCUUCUUAACGCGGAAGAGCAAUCGAUCAUAUGAGAACUAAUCGCGUAGACAUAGCAGCGACACUGUUUAGAGUUCCGUGAGUGAGAACAAGAUCGUAAUAGGCAGUACAAUGCCUGCUUUAUUGAAUCUUCUCUUGAACGGGACCCGAGAGCAGCUGUGGCAGCAUUGUUCAAUCUCUGCAUUGAUCAGGGAAACAAAGGCAUAGAGAUGAUAGCCGGCAUAGUAGCUACAUUGGUUGAGAUGCUAAGCUUUGAAGUUACAUGGCUGUGGUUCCCAUUGCUUGCACAAUGCCAAGAAUAUUGACAAAUCCCUCCGGCUUAGAAAGAAGGUCAAACCCACUCAGGGUUGUGAGGUUUCAGUUAAAGAAUAAUAAGAUGCCUGAGCCAAAAGUGCCGGUGAGGUUCGAUCUUGAUGAUCAUGAGCAGGAACCAAAAGAGAAGUCUGUGGAAGAAAGAGAGGGUUUGAAAACUGUUGAAUGGGAGGUGGAAGUUGUGAGGUUCAAAUCAAGCUGACGAAGAAAAAAGCUCUAACUAAGGCUAUUACAAACCAAGACGAAACCACGAAGAUCGUAUUAUUGUAUUUUAACUAGCGUGGAUCCGAUAGUUAGAGCUUUAUGUCGAAACCGAGAAGAUCGUAUUACUCCCUCCGAAGGUACUCCUUUCAAACUCAUUUAUUCGUUUCUUGCUUUUAGAUCGUACAUACAUGAUUCGAACUGUUCAAGAAAUGCAUCAAACAAUGUUGACCGUAUACUUCUUGCCCAUAGCGUUGUUCAUGGUGCAAUGGCAGGUUACACUAGCUACAUCAGUAGUCUUAUCAAAUGGAAGACAAACAUACAUUCUUUAAAGCGUAAGUUACUGACACAUAUCAAAUGGGUUUUUCGCUUUCAAUCCAGGAAGAAGCCGAGUUGUGAUUAUGGAUGUUUCAAUGGGAUAAUCUGGUUCGACAUAACAGAGGUCUUGGAAUCGCCCUGACCUGUUUUUUUUGUUGUGGUUGCAGAGUAUAACAUAGAAACAGAACAAUAUGGUGGUUACGGAUAGGAUGUGGACAAGGUUAAUGUUUUAGACGAAUCAGCUCAGUUUUUAGGCCCUACGGAUAUAAUCAAGGAGAAGAAAGAGGUGCCGGAAAAGCUACUUAAGAAAACUGGUAUGGAGUUUUUGAUUUUCCUACGGCUUCUUAAAAGAUCGCUAAGUGAAGCUCAGAAAAGCAUGUAUUUCUAAAACAUGUGAUAUUCAAAGUUUCUUUGAAACAAUAUGUUCUAGCGAUUUACGCAUAUUUGUAUCAUUUUUUGUGUGAUGAGUUUUAACACUUCAGCUA